rnacentral:rRNA from 1 species
UGAACGCUAGCUACAGGCUUAACACAUGCAAGUCGAGGGGCAGCAUGGUCUUAGCUUGCUAAGGCCGAUGGCGACCGGCGCACGGGUGAGUAACACGUAUCCAACCUGCCGUCUACUCUUGGACAGCCUUCUGAAAGGAAGAUUAAUACAAGAUGGCAUCAUGAGUCCGCAUGUUCACAUGAUUAAAGGUAUUCCGGUAGACGAUGGGGAUGCGUUCCAUUAGAUAGUAGGCGGGGUAACGGCCCACCUAGUCUUCGAUGGAUAGGGGUUCUGAGAGGAAGGUCCCCCACAUUGGAACUGAGACACGGUCCAAACUCCUACGGGAGGCAGCAGUGAGGAAUAUUGGUCAAUGGGCGAGAGCCUGAACCAGCCAAGUAGCGUGAAGGAUGACUGCCCUAUGGGUUGUAAACUUCUUUUAUAAAGGAAUAAAGUCGGGUAUGCAUACCCGUUUGCAUGUACUUUAUGAAUAAGGAUCGGCUAACUCCGUGCCAGCAGCCGCGGUAAUACGGAGGAUCCGAGCGUUAUCCGGAUUUAUUGGGUUUGAAGGGAGCGUAGAUGGAUGUUUAAGUCAGUUGUGAAAGUUUGCGGCUCAACCGUAAAAUUGCAGUUGAUACUGGAUAUCUUGAGUGCAGUUGAGGCAGGCGGAAUUCGUGGUGUAGCGGUGAAAUGCUUAGAUAUCACGAAGAACUCCGAUUGCGAAGGCAGCCUGCUAAGCUGCAACUGACAUUGAGGCUCGAAAGUGUGGGUAUCAAACAGGAUUAGAUACCCUGGUAGUCCACACGGUAAACGAUGAAUACUCGCUGUUUGCGAUAUACGGCAAGCGGCCAAGCGAAAGCGUUAAGUAUUCCACCUGGAGAGUACGCCGGCAACGGUGAAACUCAAAGGAAUUGACGGGGGCCCGCACAAGCGGAGGAACAUGUGGUUUAAUUCGAUGAUACGCGAGGAACCUUACCCGGGCUUAAAUUGCAGAUGAAUUACGGUGAAAGCCGUAAGCCGCAAGGCAUCUGUGAAGGUGCUGCAUGGUUGUCGUCAGCUCGUGCCGUGAGGUGUCGGCUUAAGUGCCAUAACGAGCGCAACCCUUGUUGUCAGUUACUAACAGGUUCCGCUGAGGACUCUGACAAGACUGCCAUCGUAAGAUGUGAGGAAGGUGGGGAUGACGUCAAAUCAGCACGGCCCUUACGUCCGGGGCUACACACGUGUUACAAUGGGGGGUACAGAGGGCCGCUACCACGCGAGUGGAUGCCAAUCCCCAAAACCUCUCUCAGUUCGGACUGGAGUCUGCAACCCGACUCCACGAAGCUGGAUUCGCUAGUAAUCGCGCAUCAGCCACGGCGCGGUGAAUACGUUCCCGGGCCUUGUACACACCGCCCGUCAAGCCAUGGGAGCCGGGGGUACCUGAAGUGCGUAACCGCGAGGAGCGCCCUAGGGUAAAACUGGUGACUGGGGCUAAG